rnacentral:rRNA from 1 species
GACGAACGCUGGCGGCGUGCCUAAUACAUGCAAGUAGAACGCACAGUUUAUACCGUAGCUUGCUACACCAUAAACUGUGAGUUGCGAACGGGUGAGUAACGCGUAGGUAACCUGCCUGGUAGCGGGGGAUAACUAUUGGAAACGAUAGCUAAUACCGCAUAAUAUUGAUUAUUGCAUGAUAAUUGAUUGAAAGAUGCUAUUGCAUCACUACCAGAUGGACCUGCGUUGUAUUAGCUAGUAGGUGAGGUAACGGCUCACCUAGGCGACGAUACAUAGCCGACCUGAGAGGAUGAUCGGCCACACUGGGACUGAGACACGGCCCAGACUCCUACGGGAGGCAGCAGUAGGGAAUCUUCGGCAAUGGACGAAAGUCUGACCGAGCAACGCCGCGUGAGUGAAGAAGGUUUUCGGAUCGUAAAGCUCUGUUGUAAGAGAAGAACGGGUGUGAGAGUGGAAAGUUCACACUGUGACGGUAUCUUACCAGAAAGGGACGGCUAACUACGUG